AGCCUCCAGAAGCUUCUUAAAUGCAGCGGUCUUGUAAACCGCAGAAGGUGAGCACACCCAGAGGCUG
rnacentral:tRNA from 1 species